UGCACUGCAGCGCCCCUAGUGGCAGCCGCCGGCAUUCAUUGCAUUUGGUGCCACCCGAGAGGCCGCGGACGGCACACUAGCCAGUAUAUUCUAGGCACUAUACCAUAACAAAACGCAGGCGUUAGGUUCACCCAAACGUCACGUCCGGGAUGUCGCAUUCAUUCAUUGUUUUUCGCGUCCGUGAUGUCACAUCCGUCUUUGGUUUUGGCGGCAGAAUGGCAAGCUAAAGGUGAGCUACGCUCAAACAACUGGACAAAGAUGUGGAUCGUUUAUUUUUUGGGGCUUGCGCUAGCGUAAGCUAUCGUAAGUACUUCACUUUUCCAUUCGAUGUGCCUCUACUAUGCAAACCUACGCUUUCGUCUGCCUGAUACUUCAUUUCCAGGUUCCUUACCAGCUUAUUUUCCUUGUGACGCAUCCCGCGGACCGCCGCACCGAUCAGCCAGUGCUACAGUGUACUGGAAGCCAUCAUCUGGUGCUGUGUACAGCAAGCACAUGCUUCGGGCAAGGAGGGAGCCAGCACCAUAUCUACAUCAGCAAGAACCUCGGUGUUCAAAAUAAACAUUUUCUGUGCAAA